rnacentral:rRNA from 1 species
UGGGGAAUAUUGCACAAUGGGCGCAAGCCUGAUGCAGCCAUGCCGCGUGUAUGAAGAAGGCCUUCGGGUUGUAAAGUACUUUCAGCGGGGAGGAAGGGAGAAAAGUUAAUACCUUUGCUCAUUGACGUUACCCGCAGAAGAAGCACCGGCUAACUCCGUGCCAGCAGCCGCGGUAAUACGGAGGGUGCAAGCGUUAAUCGGAAUUACUGGGCGUAAAGCGCACGCAGGCGGUUUGUUAAGUCAGAUGUGAAAUCCCCGGGCUCAACCUGGGAACUGCAUCUGAUACUGGCAAGCUUGAGUCUCGUAGAGGGGGGUAGAAUUCCAGGUGUAGCGGUGAAAUGCGUAGAGAUCUGGAGGAAUACCGGUGGCGAAGGCGGCCCCCUGGACGAAGACUGACGCUCAGGUGCGAAAGCGUGGGGAGCAAACA